CCAAUAGCGUAUAUUAAAGUUGUUGCAGUUAAAAAGCUCGUAGUUGAACCUCGGGAUCAAUGGAUCGGUCAUGCCAUCGGUAUGUACUGGUCUCAUUGGUUCUCACCUUCUAAGGAACCAUGAUGUCAUUCAGUUGAUGUUGUGGGGAAUUAGGACUGUUACCUUGAAAAAAUUAGAGUGUUUAAAGCAGGCCAACGCUUGAAUACAUUAGCAUGGAAUAAUGAAAUAGGACAUCGCAUUCUAUUUUGUUGGUUUCUAGGAUCGAUGUAAUGAUUAAUAGGGAUAGUUGGGGGCAUUAGUAUUCAAUUGUCAGAGGUGAAAUUCUUGGAUUUAUUGAAGACUAACUACUGCGAAAGCAUUUGCCAAGGAUGUUUUCAUUAAUCAAGAACGAAAGUUAGGGGAUCGAAGACGAUUAGAUACCGUCGUAGUCUUAACCAUAAACUAUGCCGACUAGGGAUCGGAUGAUGUUGAUUUUUUAAUGACUCAUUCGGCACCUUAC
rnacentral:rRNA from 1 species